AUGUCGCACCGCUCUUUCCUGCUCGAGGACAAGUUCCACUACAGCCGUGGAUUAAAAAUAAGUUUUACUUCAUCUAUACACCAAGUUUGGGGAUUACAUAUCAUCUACUCUUAUGCCAUCAAGUCGUUGUCGAACAAUAUCCUGAGAUCUCUGGAAAAAUUGGAGAUUUCCUAUUGUUAUGCCAUCAAGGCGCUGCCCAACAGCCUCCCGGUUUCUCUCAAAAAUCUGGAGAUCAGUAAUUGUGAGGCGCUCAAGUCUUUGCCCAAGAAUGACCUUCCAAAGAAGGAGAACGGCGAUGGCUACAACAGUUUUCUCCCUGAACACUUCUGGGGACCAAAAAAGGUGUGGUCGUGUAGCGGCCGCCGGCGAGGAUCAAUGGCACUGUAUAUGCUUAUAAACAUUAUUAGAGAAAACUAUAGGCCGCAGCCGUGCCCCUCCGCUGCACCGCCCAUCAUCACCCCCGUACACAGCCGGCCACCGGGCAACUCCUCCAGCGCGGGUGCAACACUACCGCUGCUCACAUCCUCGCCCCACUUGCUGGUGUCUUCCACUCUAGGCGCGGUUGUAGCAAGCAAACAAAAGCGCCACUGGUUCAUCCCGGAUGCUGCUUGUACUCCAUGUUAUGCAUUAUUGUCCUAG
rnacentral:rRNA from 1 species